rnacentral:rRNA from 1 species
AAUAGAUACCCGGGUAGUCCACGCCGUAAACGAUGUCGACUUGGAGGUUGUUCCCUUGAGGAGUGGCUUCCGGAGCUAACGCGUUAAGUCGACCGCCUGGGGAGUACGGCCGCAAGGUUAAAACUCAAAUGAAUUGACGGGGGCCCGCACAAGCGGUGGAGCAUGUGGUUUAAUUCGAUGCAACGCGAAGAACCUUACCUACUCUUGACAUCCACGGAACUUUUCAGAGAUGAAUUGGUGCCUUCGGGAACCGUGAGACAGGUGCUGCAUGGCUGUCGUCAGCUCGUGUUGUGAAAUGUUGGGUUAAGUCCCGCAACGAGCGCAACCCUUAUCCUUUGUUGCCAGCGGUUAGGCCGGGAACUCAAAGGAGACUGCCAGUGAUAAACUGGAGGAAGGUGGGGAUGACGUCAAGUCAUCAUGGCCCUUACGAGUAGGGCUACACACGUGCUACAAUGGCGCAUACAAAGAGAAGCGACCUCGCGAGAGCAAGCGGACCUCAUAAAGUGCGUCGUAGUCCGGAUUGGAGUCUGCAACUCGACU